AUUGAACGCUGGCGGCAGGCCUAACACAUGCAAGUCGAAUGGUAACAGGAAACAGCUUGCUGUUUCGCUGACGAGUGGCGGACGGGUGAGUAAUGUCUGGGAAACUGCCUGAUGGAGGGGGAUAACUACUGGAAACGGUAGCUAAUACCGCAUAACGUCGCAAGACCAAAGAGGGGGACCUUCGGGCCUCUUGCCAUCAGAUGUGCCCAGAUGGGAUUAGCUAGUAGGUGGGGUAACGGCUCACCUAGGCGACGAUCCCUAGCUGGUCUGAGAGGAUGACCAGCCACACUGGAACUGAGACACGGUCCAGACUCCUACGGGAGGCAGCAGUGGGGAAUAUUGCACAAUGGGCGCAAGCCUGAUGCAGCCAUGCCGCGUGUAUGAAGAAGGCCUUCGGGUUGUAAAGUACUUUCAGCGGGGAGGAAGGGAGUAAAGUUAAUACCUUUGCUCAUUGACGUACCCGCAGAAG
rnacentral:rRNA from 1 species